GGACCCGCACAAGCGGUGGAUUAUGUGGAUUAAUUCGAUGCAACGCGAAAAACCUUACCUACCCUUGACAUGUCCGGAAGCCCGGUGAGAGCUGGGUGUGCCCGAAAGGGAACCGGAACACAGGUGCUGCAUGGCUGUCGUCAGCUCGUGUCGUGAGAUGUUGGGUUAAGUCCCGCAACGAGCGCAACCCUUGUCAUUAGUUGCUACAUUCGGUUGGGCACUCUAAUGAGACUGCCGGUGACAAACCGGAGGAAGGUGGGGAUGACGUCAAGUCCUCAUGGCCCUUAUGGGUAGGGCUUCACACGUAAUACAAUGGCGCGUACAGAGGGCCUGCUAAGCCGCGAGGUAGAGCCAAUCCCUUAAAGCGCGUCGUAGUCCGGAUUGCAGUCUGCAACUCGACUGCAUGAAGUCGGAAUCGCUAGUAAUCGCGGAUCAGCAUGUCGCGGUGAAUACGUUCCCGGGUCUU
rnacentral:rRNA from 1 species